rnacentral:rRNA from 1 species
GACGAACGCUGGCGGCGUGCCUAAUACAUGCAAGUAGAACGCACAGUUUAUACCGUAGCUUGCUACACCAUAGACUGUGAGUUGCGAACGGGUGAGUAACGCGUAGGUAACCUGCCUGGUAGCGGGGGAUAACUAUUGGAAACGAUAGCUAAUACCGCAUAAUAUUAAUUAUUGCAUGAUAAUUAAUUGAAAGGUGCAAUUGCGCCACUACCAGAUGGACCUGCGUUGUAUUAGCUAGUAGGUGAGGUAACGGCUCACCUAGGCGACGAUACAUAGCCGACCUGAGAGGGUGAUCGGCCACACUGGGACUGAGACACGGCCCAGACUCCUACGGGAGGCAGCAGUAGGGAAUCUUCGGCAAUAGACGAAAGUCUGACCGAGCAACGCCGCGUGAGUGAAGAAGGUUUUCGGAUCGUAAAGCUCUGUUGUAAGAGAAGAACGGGUGUGAGAGUGGAAAGUUCACACUGUGACGGUAUCUUACCAGAAAGGGACGGCUAACUACGUG